rnacentral:tRNA from 1 species
GCCGGGGUAGUGUAGCUGGUGCGCACGCAUGUCUGAAAAACAUGAAGAUCCGGUUCGAUUCCGGACCCCGGCACAA